AUGACUACAUCUGUGUGGGCUAUAAAAAGCAAUGAAGCAUUGUCAUUUCGAUUCUCAUACGCACAUGGUUUUAUAAAACUUGACUGCUCACAUUUGAACGUGCCAUUUGAAACACACAUACUGUACAUGACAAACUAUACAUUUCCAAUGGCAAAUGCCCACAGAAAGUUAACUGGAAUCAUCGAUGGAAAAAAUCUGACAGGAUCUGCCUUGGAGACAAGUCCCAGAAAGGUGGCCAGCUGAUCCAAAGUCUCCUGAUCAAUUCAAUGAUGGUCCAUCUAUCUCAGUAAGUGUCAAGGUGAAGGUUUGCUCAUAUCCAGUGAUCAAAACAUGAACAUAAGCUAAUCUUCUUUUGAUCAGUGUCUGAUGUCAAGAGCUGGAUUAAUUUCAUCCCAAAGACAAGGUGUUUUAACAAUUUUUUUUACUUCUUUGUGCUAUUUCCUUUUAUCUGAGUUGUAGCUUUUCUUUGCUGUACAAAUGCCAC
rnacentral:lncRNA from 1 species